UACGUAGGUGGCAAGCGUUGUCCGGAUUUACUGGGCGUAAAGAGCGCGCAGGCGGUCGUUCAAGUCGCGUGUGAAAGCCCCCGGCUCAACUGGGGAGGGUCACGCGAUACUGAUCGACUCGAAGGCAGGAGAGGGUAGUGGAAUUCCCGGUGUAGUGGUGAAAUGCGUAGAUAUCGGGAAGAACACCGAUGGCGAAGGCAGUUCUCUGGGACGGUACUGACGCUGAGACGCGAAAGCGUGGGGAGCGAACAGG
rnacentral:rRNA from 1 species